rnacentral:rRNA from 1 species
UACGUAGGGGGCAAGCGUUAUCCGGAUUUACUGGGUGUAAAGGGUGCGCAGGCGGAGGUGCAAGUCAGCGGUCAAAUUGCGGGGCUCAACCCCGUACUGCCGUUGAAACUGCAUCCCUUGAGUGCGCGAGAAGUAUGCGGAAUGCGUGGUGUAGCGGUGAAAUGCUUAGAUAUCGCGCAGAACCCCGAUUGCGAAGGCAGCGUACCGGCUCCACACUGACGCUGAGGCACGAAAGCGUGGGUAUCGAACAGG